AACGUAGUAGGCAAGCGUUAUCCGGAGUUACUGGGCGUAAAGCGUGCGUAGGCGGGUUGGUAAGUGGGUGGGGAAAGCGCUCGGCUAAACCGGGCGAGUGCCAUCCAGACUGCCAGUCUAGAGGCGGAUAGAGGGGUGCGGAAUUCCGGGUGUAGCGGUGAAAUGUGUAGAGAUCCGGAGGAACACCAGUGGUGCAAACGGCGCCCUGGGUCCGAACUGACGCUGAUGCACGAAAGCGUGGGGAGCGAACGGG
rnacentral:rRNA from 1 species